rnacentral:rRNA from 1 species
GACGAACGCUGGCGGCGUGCUUAACACAUGCAGGUCGAACGGAAAGGCCCUGCUUUUGUGGGGUGCUCGAGUGGCGAACGGGUGAGUAACACGUGAGUAACCUGCCCUUGACUUUGGGAUAACUUCAGGAAACUGGGGCUAAUACCGGAUAGGAGCUCCUGCUGCAUGGUGGGGGUUGGAAAGUUUCGGCGGUUGGGGAUGGACUCGCGGCUUAUCAGCUUGUUGGUGGGGUAGUGGCUUACCAAGGCUUUGACGGGUAGCCGGCCUAGAGGGUGACCGGCCACAUUGGGACUGAGAUACGGCCCAGACUCCUACGGGAGGCAGCAGUGGGGAAUAUUGCACAAUGGGCGGAAGCCUGAUGCAGCAACGCCGCGUGCGGGAUGACGGCCUUCGGGUUGUAAACCGCUUUCGCCUGUGACGAAGCGUGAGUGACGGUAAUGGGUAAAGAAGCACCGGCUAACUACGUG